UACAGAGGGUGCAAGCGUUGUUCGGAAUUAUUGGGCGUAAAGCGCGCGCAGGUGGUUUCUUAAGUCUGAUGUGAAAGCCCACGGCUCAACCGUGGAGGGUCAUUGGAAACUGGGAGACUUGAGUGCAGAAGAGGAAAGUGGAAUUCCACGUGUAGCAGUGAAAUGCGUAGAGAUGUGGAGGAACACCGAUGGCGAAGGCAGCCUCCUGGGCCAAUACUGACGCUGAGGUGCGAAAGCGUGGGGAGCAAACAGG
rnacentral:rRNA from 1 species